rnacentral:lncRNA from 1 species
GUACCAUUAACAAGACCAAUUUUAUUCUUAGCGGACAAGGCAACUAUCAUCUCCCUCUUUCAACCCCCAUAACCACUACUCGAAAAGAGAAUAGGAACAAGUGAAAUACCAGGAACAUCAGAAGAGUAAACAAAGAAAGGUCUUGUAGGGUCAAUAGGUAAGGCAUUAUUAGGGUUCAUAUUUGUCAUCAGAAACAGAACAACAGUGAUGAAGAGAAAUUGAUUCAAUAUCUGUGAAAUACUCGAUACACUAGAUUUUCCAGCAAAAACACAUGCAAGCUCUUAACGAAAGUGAGAAUAGGGUUACCCGACGUCUACGCUACCGGAGAAGAACGACCUUCAAAAAUUCAGAGAAAACCCUAGCUUUGUUCAGUACAAAUCUAACGCUUCUGAAUACAUCGGAAUCAACCUCGAAAGGUGUCGGAAGUUUACCCAAAACACCACGCUUGAGAAAGCAACAACAAUCCAUAGAAAAGGGCUGAAAAUAUCUCCGAUUCCACCAACAAAAUUCAGAGAAAACCCUAGCUUUUUCAGUGCAAAUCCAAUGCAUCUGAAUCCGUCGGAAUCAACCGUAAAAGGUGUCGGAAGUUUACACUAAACACCACGCUUUGAGGAAGCAACAACAAUCCACAGAAAAGGGCUAAAAACAUCUCCGAUUCCACCAACAAAUAAAAAAAAUCCAUAAUCACCACCGAUAAUUCAAUAAUGUUGGACCGGAAGAACUAAGAACAGAGAGGAGACAUCCGAGAAGACGAACCACGCUCUGAUACCAUGAAAACAUGGAGAAUCGGAGAUGGAGAAAAGGGAGAGAAAUUUUAUCUCUUUCAGAAUCGAUAUCAACAAAAAUGAAUUCUGUGUUCUAUCUCAU